rnacentral:lncRNA from 1 species
GGGUGUCCGGGAGCCAGGUGUGUGGCCAGCGUGGCACUCUCCACGGUCCGGGGCCUGGGCCGUGGUGUGGACUAGCGAGGCCCCUCGUGGCCGGCUGGCGGUGGGCAGGCCUGGUGGGUAGUGCAGGCCGGGCUUUUACUCUUCUCUGUCCUCUUCUCUUCGGCGGCUGCCUCGGCCCCUCCCUGCAUUUCCUUCCUCCAA